UAUAAAUAUAUUAGUUUUCUCAUUAUAAAUAAUUGUGAACCCAUGGGCCCCAACGUGAACCAGUUCAGUAGUGCCCAUUAAGAUAACACUGUUGAUCAUCGCGUAUCGGAGAGCCAAUCCGAGCACAAUGAUAUUUUAUGAAUUUGAAUUGUGCAAUAGUCGUAUUUAAAUUGUAUAUUUUGCUGUGUUAUACCGUGAAUAAAUUGUGUCCAGACUUUUUAGGUGGUUCAACUAUAUAGAACUCCAUAUAAAAUAUUCACAAACUUCAGACUUGUGCACGCGCAGUUGAAAAUACUUGCAAAAAUACGAAUCGCACGUAAUAUGAAUCAUUUACUAUUAUUGCCUAGGUACACUGCAUAUUAUCUCAAGUUCGUGCACGUAUAUUUUGAGACUAUCGGAACACCAUUGACCAUUAUGCUCCAAUCGAAACUCUCAACUACGUUAUUGGUGUACCGUGGUGAUUUCACAAGAGAGACGUAAUUGAUAAUACAAAUAAAACGUAAUCAUUCGUAUUCAUAGUACAGAGUCGCGGUUUUUGGCGGGUUCCGUAUGACGAUAAUAUUAUUAUUACUACUUACACGUUAUUGUCCGACCUUGUACUUUCUCCGCUUUCGUCUCCUGGCACUAGAUAACAAAACUGCUGCACGUGAUCCCGUUAUACUACGCCGUCAUCGUGACCGCAAAACAUUCUUAACCCGACGCGCACCAUCAUAAUAUUAUUAUAGCUUCGCCGGUUGAUACCAAAACGUGAAAUUCACAGAAACCAGUCAGUAAAGAAUUUUUGAAAAAACGCCGUAUCACCGUCAUAAUAAUAUUAUCGUCGUAUCAGGCCUGUAGCCAUCACCGAAAUCGGGCUUAAAUCUUUUCGAAAACGUUUAAUUGUUAUAGGACCAGUGGCGUAACUAAGGAAUCAACUAAGGAUCAGAGGGUUCUGUCAGACGAACCACCCCGGUUCGUUCAUCCGGGGCCCGAAGUAUUGAGACGUUUUUCUUUUGACUGUUAAACUAUUCGUUUUAUACGUGUGUUGGUAAUUGAUUAUCGAUUGUAAUAAUUCAAAAUUAUUAUUAUUUUUGUAGCCUGUACGAGUGUGAAUAUUAUAAUUUGGUAUCGACGAAUAUUCUUUGUCUAUAAACCUUGGGGUUUUAUUCCUAGCAUAUAUUUAUUUAUUAAUGACACGAAUUGUGUUUAUGAAAAAAAAGGAGCCAAAGUCACGCCGACUUGGUCAAACCGAUAUGAAUGGCCAAACACAUGAUAUUUUAUGUAUAUUUUUUUGUGCUAUAUAUAUUUUAGUGCUAUUUAUGUGGGUGUAUCUCGAUAAUUUAUACAACUACAAGAAAUAGAUAGGACCAAAUUCGUACACAAAAUUAAUAUUAAUGCUAUUUCAAAAGUUCAUUAACGAAAAAUGAUUAAAAGCGA